UACGAAGGGGGCUAGCGUUGCUCGGAAUUACUGGGCGUAAAGCGCACGUAGGCGGAUCUUUAAGUCAGGGGUGAAAUCCUGGAGCUCAACCCCAGAACUGCCUUUGAUACUGAGGACCUUGAGUUCGGGAGAGGUGAGUGGAACUGCGAGUGUAGAGGUGAAAUUCGUAGAUAUUCGCAAGAACACCAGUGGCGAAGGCGGCUCACUGGCCUGAUACUGACGCUGAGGUGCGAAAGCGUGGGGAGCAAACAGG
rnacentral:rRNA from 1 species